rnacentral:rRNA from 1 species
UACGUAGGGUGCGAGCGUUGUCCGGAAUUAUUGGGCGUAAAGGGCUCGUAGGCGGUUUGUCGCGUCGGGAGUGAAAACCUCGGGCUUAACUCGGGGCUUGCUUUCGAUACGGGCAGACUGGAGGUAUGCAGGGGAGAACGGAAUUCCUGGUGUAGCGGUGAAAUGCGCAGAUAUCAGGAGGAACACCAAUGGCGAAGGCAGCUCGCUGGAACGGUACUGACGCUGAGGCGCGAAAGCGUGGGGAGCGAACAGG